GUUCACCUUUACCUCCAGACGAAAUCUUGUCAAGUCAUAGUGUUGGUGGUUCGGUCGACGUGGCCGCAAUAAAGUGCUUGUCCCUUUGUAUGAAUGAAUUAAAAUGUGUUGGAUUCAACGUCAAAGCAGGUUUCAAUGAUGAAAACUGCCAACUUACUAACGUCACUAAAAGCAAAAAUGAGAACAAACAAAGGAAAGGGGAAUGGAAGUUGUUUCGUGAUUUUGAAGCGGUAUGUAGAAUAUAUAUUUUUCUGAUUGUUAGAUAAUUUUAGGCCGUCACAUGUCCUGCUCUAUCUUUCAAGUUCGUUGCACAUGUCGC